UACGGAGGAUGCGAGCGUUAUCCGGAUUUAUUGGGUUUAAAGAGUGCGUAGGCGGACGCUUAAGUCAGCGGUAAAAUUGCGGGGCUCAACCUCGUCGAGCCGUUGAAACUGGGUGCCUUGAGUGGGCGAGAAGUACGCGGAAUGCGUGGUGUAGCGGUGAAAUGCAUAGAUAUCACGCAGAACUCCGAUUGCGAAGGCAGCGUACCGGCGCCCAACUGACGCUGAAGCACGAAGGCGUGGGUAUCGAACAGG
rnacentral:rRNA from 1 species